GAUGAACGCUGGCGGCGUGCUUAACACAUGCAAGUCGAACGGAAAGGCCCUGCUCUUGUGGGGUUCUCGAUUGGCGAACGGGUGAGUAACACGUGAGUAACCUGCCCUUGUCUUUGUGAUAACUUCAGGAGACUGGGGCUAAUACCCGAUAGGAUCUCCUGCUGCAUGUGGUUGGUUGGAAAGUUUCGGCGGUUGGGGAUGGACUCGCUGCUUAUCGGCUUGUUUGUGGGGUAGUGGCGUACCAAGGCUUUGACGGGUAGCCGGCCUGAGAGGGUGAACGGGCACCUUGGGACUGCGAUACGGCCCAGAAUGCUACGGGAGGCAGCAGGGGGAAAUCUUGCACAAUGGGCGGAAGCCUGAUGCAGCAACGCCGCGUGCGGGAUGCCCGCUUUCGGGUUGUAAACCGAUUUCGCAGGUGCCGAAGAGUGAGUGACGGUAAUGGGUAAAGAAGCACCGGCUAACUACGUG
rnacentral:rRNA from 1 species